UAACCUGCCCAAGAGAUCGGGAUAACACCUGGAAACAGAUGCUAAUACCGGAUAAUAACAGAUGAUGCCUAUCAACUGUUUAAAAGAUGGUUAUGCUAUCACUCUUGGAUGGACCUGCGGUGCAUUAGCUAGUUGGUAGGGUAACGGCCUACCAAGGCGAUGAUGCAUAGCCGAGUUGAGAGACUGAUCGGCCACAUUGGGACUGAGACACGGCCCAAACUCCUACGGGAGGCAGCAGGA
rnacentral:rRNA from 1 species